GAGGGGAUCCCACCAGACCAGCAGAGGUUGAUAUUUGCUGGGAAACAAUUGGAAGAUGGAAGGACUUUGGCCGAUUACAACAUCCAGAAAGAGUCCACCCUUCACCUUGUUCUGCGUCUGCGUGGUGGCUUCUAAAUGCUCCAUCUGUUUCAGCCCGCUUGGCUGACUUGUGUUUGGUGUUUAUGCCUUGGGCCAAUGGCUUCUUAAAAAGUUUUUAAUUUAGUAUUGUUCCAGGGUUUGCUGGUGGUGUUAUUCCAUGUAUGUAUGUAACGGGAAGUGAUGCCAGUGUUGUUUGUUUUGUUAAUAAAAUUUAGAAUUUUCUAAAUAUUCUUACCCUGGAUUUCUGUUUUGUUUUAAGUAUUUCCCUUGCAUUACGACCUGUGCUUAGCAUUUUUCACAGUUUGACAUGACUGAAUAUACGAGUUUCUUGAGAGCAAUCCACCACAUGCCUGACUCAAGCUCAUUGUUCAUCGCUAUUAAUAUGUUGACUUCAGUUGAUUGGUGGGUUCUGAUCGUUUUUCAUUAUAAAGGACUUUCUGGUUUCAUUAGUGGAUCAGGGUUUAAAGCAUACUGUCCUCAAUAUUCUUCUAAAAAGGGUUCAGUUAGGGGAGGCUGUCAUAGAUGUCCAUCCUUAAAAUUUUCUCAAAACUUAAAAGUAGUUGAUCCUAAUAGACUGUUUAAUUAACAUGUAAAUCUUUCAGUUGAGCAACCCUGGUUCAGAACAUUGUUAAGUGGUUGAAACGUGAAAAGGCAAUAGGAUAGUCAAGAAGUGGUUGAUAACUAGUGAUCUUUUUUUUUUUUUUCUUUAAUAAUCUUCAACCUUAUUUAUUUAUUUGUUUAUUUUGGUUUGAAGUUUUGAAAAGCUUUUGGUGAAACUCUAAAUCAUGGGCGCAAUUGAAGAAUAAAGGUCGGUGGACAAAGAGCAUUAAACCAUUGAAGUUCCUUGAAAAUUGAAGAACAAGAUGCUCUUAUCCACUAACAUAGUUAUGGUGUAAAAUUUAUACAUAUUUGCAAGAAAAAUAAGAAAAAAAAGACACCACCACUUGAUUCGAGUUAUCAAAAGUAUAAUGAAUUACCGAAUUAAGUUUUUGUCAUACAUGAUGGAUAUUGUUUGUCAUGCAUUAAGUUUUCUGUGAUAUUUUACACGCAAGUCAUUCGUCAACAUACGUGUUUUCGUAGAAGGGUAUGAGUGAAACGCUCAAGAGUAUUACUAAUUAAAUUAGUGGGCAUUAAAAGAUCAAGGGGCAAACACACAAGGAGAUUCACAAUCAAGAGGCCAAAUUAGGGAUUUUGACAAAAAGUUAACAUCUUUUUUAAAUUUUAAUACGAUUUACCCCGUGAUUAAAAAAAACAGAAUAUACAAAUAUGGACAAAUCAUGACAUUUUCGAGUGGAAGACAUAAGAAUUUCCUAAAAUUAAGGGACCAUCUUUUAGUUUGUUUGAAAAAUAUCCACCUGCCAAAAGAAUUGAAAAAUUAAGAGUGUGUUUGAAUUGCAUUUUCCGUCAUUUUUCAUGGAAAAAUUACUGUAGCGAUUUGAUAUAUGUGAGGGAAAAAGGUGAUAGGGAAAUGUGAUCACGGAAAACGACAAUAUUUUCCGACAGAAACAAAUAAUCCAAACACACCCUAAGAUAGUUUCAAUCGAGAGGAAUCUCUAAAAUCGAGUAAAAGAAAUUUCUAAAUGAGGUGGAUCAUCUUUUAAUUUUUUUUUUCAUAAGGAAUUCACGUACCAAAAAGUAACGGAAAAUCACCAUAUGUUCUAAGCCAUGGAGAGAUCUUGAAAUUUAAGGAGGAUGUUCAUUUGUUGGGAAAAAGUUAAAGGCAAUUGAUCCUUAUUAUUAUUAAUUUUUUGACAAAAACUUUUGUAGGCUCGAUUGACAGCCAUUUGGCUGUAGAUCGAGUGGUACACUCUACACAAAUUGCCACGUAAUAAAUAUUCAAAAUUUCACAAUUUUUAUUCUUGGCUUAUCCAUAACCUUUCUCACCAAUCUCUAUAUUCUUGGUUUUUUUUUCCAAUGCAAACACAAUUUUCCAAUGCAAACAUUUCUUCCUGCUUUCUUCCGCAAAUUGCAUCUCGCUUUGUAUCAUCUCCAAAUCGAAUUUUUUUUUUAAAAAAAAAAAAAGAAAAAAAUUCCAAACCCCUAAUCAAAUUGAUACUUGACUUUUCUUUUGAUUUAUGGUCAGAUUUGUUUUAAUUGGGUUUUCUUCAAAAUAAAUCGAAAUCCUAACCGUAGGUGCUACGAGAAAGAAGGAAAGAAGACACGAGGAAAACAAAGGCGGUGACUGUAGGUUUGAUGGUUUCAGUGGAUCUAAGAGUGCAGAUUUUGGGGUUGGAAAGGAAAAUGGGUUUCUGAACAAAAGGGGCAAUACGAAUGGCUGUUCAUAUUCCUUGCAGAUGCUGCUUCCUACACCGAAAGAUGGUGAUGGCGGUACCGUGGUAAUAAGGAAAUUGAGAGAGAUGAGUAAGAAUCUGACGGCUGUGAGUCAUCUGACAGGUUGCUUGAACCAUAUCACCAAGUAGCACCGCUAAAAUAUAUAGGAGUCCAAACUUUGGCAAAAGGAGGUGGUCAGCUGCAAAGGCUGAUUUAACAAGGGGCGGGGCCAUUGCAAGAAUAUAUUUUUGUGCAGAUGACGUGGCAAAUCUCAUACCUCUAUGUCUACAGGUGGAUGGCGGAUCGGAAAUGGGGCAGGAGCAAGAACAACCGUUCCUUGCAGUUGAGUUGACGGGAAUGAUUUGAUCAAAAAAUUUUAUGCGAUUCAAAUCACAUUUUAUAACUCGAUUUUUAGAUUGUGUGUGAGACUUACAAAAAUUUGUUUUAAUGUCGUGUGCAAAAAAAUUUAUAUUGUGUGCAAUCAAAAUUAUACACAGUAAAAAAAACACAUAAUCGAUCGAAACGAUUGUACCUGUAACCGUCUGUGCUCCUGUUCACUCAAGUUUUUGCCUUUUUUUUUUCCCCGCUGACUUGUCCUUUUCUUGAGCGUGUUGGGCUCUUGUUUCCGACUUUUCUGGUAUAAUAAUAAUCCUUUUUCUUGUAUUUGUUUAUUUUGUUAGGAAAAUUUUAUAACAAGCAUCCUCACUCACUCAAGAAAAGAACAAGUUAGAGGAAAAAAAAAGAAAGGACCAAUUGCCUUAUAAUAAGCAUCCCCGCUCACUCAAGAAAAGAACAAGUUGGAGGAAAAAAGAGAAAGGACCACUUGCAUUAUAAUAAGCAUCCUCACUCACACAAGAAAAGAACAAGUUAGAGGAAAAAAGAGAAAGGACCAGUUGCCUUAACCCUUUCCCAACAAAAUAAACAAAUAAGAAAAAGGAUUAUUAUACUAGAAAGGUUGGAAACAAGACAACGGUCUUGUUUGGCAAGUAAAUUUUUAGUCAAAUUGAUUUGUUACAAGUAUUUUAAUAAUUUUAUUUACAGUAAUUUUAAAAAAUUUUAAAAUUUUAAAAUUAUAUACUUUAAAAUAUUUAAAAAUUUAUAUACUUUAAAUUUUUUUUAAUAAUUUUUACAAUAAAUUAUAAUAAAAUUUUAAAUAAAUACAUAACAAAAUUCACUUGACAAAUGGGGCAAGAGUCCCGCUCGUUCAAGAAAAGGACUAAAGAAAAGAGGUGGAAAAAGUGGGCUGCCUUAACCGCGUCGGCUGGGUAAGGGUAAGGCAGGCAACUAACAAAUUGGCACGCAGCCAUCAUGACUGACCCAACGCCUCACAGGAACCUGUUCCGUCUGGAGUCGGUCAUCGCUCCUAUAAAUAACCCCGGAUAAUCCUUUUGCUUUAUCAUUCACAUCUUCAUUAUAUAAUCUACAUCUCUUCCUCUAAAACUCUCAUCAAAUCUCCUAUCGAAAGCCGCCUUCCUUCUGUUUCCUCUCGCAAGGUAUUUGCUUUUUCAUCGAUUGUCUUGCUUGCUUCUCGGUUAUGUGAAUUUUUGUUGAUUAUGUAUAUGAUGCUUGACUUUUAGAUGGAUGGUGAAUUAAGGUUGCGGCUGGAGUUGGAAUUUAAAUUAAACUUUCGUUAUAUUUGACGGAUCUGUUCUGAUUUGAUUUGAUUUGAUUUGAUUACUCUGGUUGAACGAGAAAAUUUUCCCCUUCAAUCUUUUGGUUUUGUCUGAUUUGUUUAUUUUGCUGUGAGUUUUUGUUGAUUAUUAGUAAAUUAAGCUGUAAGCCUUUCUUUUUUCCCUAUAGAGGAUAGGAAAAGGUGGAAUUGGUCGAUUUUUUUUUUUUGCCUUGUUUAUUAGGGUUCAGGAAUUUGAUUGAAACCGCUUCUUAUGUUAAGAAUUAACUCUUUGAUUUUGUAGUUGCUAUGCAGAUGUUGGGUUGGGGUAUUUGAGUGAACCAUAAUACCUAUUAUUUGACCCCCUAGUUGGUUUUGAAUUUGGUUCUUCAAGUGAUUUCUUUCUUUUUAUGCAUUUGUUGGUUGAAGAAUAUCUCAUAAUCAAAUCUGAUUAGGUUUGGGUUUGUGCUUAUUUUAAUUCUGACAGAUGCAAAUCUUCGUGAAAACCCUUACCGGGAAGACCAUCACUCUUGAAGUUGAAAGCUCCGACACAAUUGAUAAUGUGAAAGCCAAGAUUCAGGACAAGGAGGGCAUCCCUCCGGACCAGCAAAGGCUGAUAUUUGCUGGAAAACAGCUGGAGGAUGGACGCACCCUUGCCGACUACAACAUUCAGAAGGAAUCCACCCUUCAUUUGGUUCUGCGCCUGAGGGGAGGGAUGCAGAUCUUUGUAAAGACCCUUACCGGAAAAACAAUUACCCUCGAAGUUGAAAGCUCUGAUACAAUUGAUAAUGUCAAGGCUAAGAUUCAGGACAAAGAGGGUAUUCCCCCAGACCAGCAGAGGUUGAUUUUUGCUGGAAAACAACUUGAAGAUGGCCGCACCCUUGCUGAUUAUAACAUUCAGAAGGAGUCGACCCUUCACUUGGUGCUUAGGCUGAGGGGAGGGAUGCAAAUUUUCGUGAAGACCCUCACUGGAAAGACUAUCACUUUGGAGGUUGAGAGCUCAGAUACAAUCGACAACGUGAAAGCUAAGAUCCAGGAUAAGGAGGGAAUCCCUCCGGAUCAGCAGAGGCUGAUCUUUGCUGGCAAGCAGCUUGAAGAUGGCAGGACUCUUGCUGACUAUAAUAUUCAGAAAGAGUCAACUCUUCAUUUAGUGCUGAGAUUGAGGGGUGGAAUGCAGAUUUUUGUCAAGACUUUGACAGGGAAGACCAUAACUCUUGAGGUGGAGAGUUCAGAUACUAUAGAUAAUGUGAAGGCAAAAAUUCAGGACAAGGAGGGCAUCCCACCAGACCAGCAAAGGUUGAUCUUUGCUGGUAAGCAGCUUGAGGAUGGCCGGACCCUUGCAGAUUACAACAUCCAGAAGGAAUCAACCCUUCAUCUGGUGCUCAGGUUGCGAGGAGGAAUGCAAAUUUUUGUCAAGACUCUGACUGGAAAGACCAUCACUUUGGAGGUGGAGAGCUCAGAUACGAUUGAUAACGUCAAGGCUAAGAUCCAGGACAAGGAGGGGAUCCCACCUGACCAGCAGAGAUUGAUCUUUGCUGGUAAACAGUUGGAAGAUGGAAGGACUUUGGCAGAUUAUAACAUCCAGAAAGAGUCCACCCUUCACCUUGUCCUGCGUCUGCGUGGUGGUUUCUGAGUGCUGCAUCUAUAUGCAGUUGAAGGCUGUCUCUUGAAGUUGGUAGUCUUUUGUGUUUGUCUGCUUGAUUUCUGUCCGUGUCCAAGCCAUGGGCCCUAAUAGCUUCCUAAG
rnacentral:lncRNA from 1 species